ACCCCCUGAGACCCCAGAGGGGAGCCAGGAUGACGAAGACCCCGCCGAGGCCCCGCCCCCGGAAGUGCUGCCCCUGCAAAUCGAGGUGGAGAGCACCGAGCCCCUCCCCCCUGCAGACGGUGACUCUGCGCUGCUGCUGCGCCUGCG